CUUGAGAACUGAACAGCGAUGCAAAGAUGACAAAUACAACUCGAGCAUCAGCCGGAGGAGUCCACGCACUCCACUGUCAGACCUGCAGGGAACAAACACGCUCCGUGAGAACAUGAGCAGGAGGUGCGAGCGCGUCUCCUCGCUCUCGUCUCAUGAGGAGGAGGGCAUCUUCGUGAACUCG